rnacentral:rRNA from 1 species
CGCUUGCAGGGGUACUCGAGUGGCGAACGGGUGAGUAACACGUGGGUGAUCUGCCUUGCACUUCGGGAUAAGCCUGGGAAACUGGGUCUAAUACCGGAUAGGAACCGUCUUUAGUGUGGUGGUUGGAAAGUUUUUCGGUGCAAGAUGAGCCCGCGGCCUAUCAGCUUGUUGGUGGGGUAAUGGCCUACCAAGGCGACGACGGGUAGCCGGCCUGAGAGGGUGGACGGCCACAUUGGGACUGAGACACGGCCCAG